rnacentral:rRNA from 1 species
GAUAAACGCUGGCGGCGUGCAUGAGACAUGCAAGUCGAACGAGUGCUCCCGGGCUUGCCUGGGAUCGCUAGUGGCGAACGGCUGAGUAACGCGUGGGUGACCUGCCCUGAAGUGGGGAAUAACUGCCCGAAAGGGUGGCUAAUACCGCAUGUGGUGACACGUUCGAUCGUGUGACCAAAGCCGCAAGGCGCUUCGGGAGGGGCCCGCGUCCGAUUAGCUCGUUGGUGGGGUAAUGGCUCACCAAGGCGACGAUCGGUAGGUGGUCUGAGAGGACGAUCACCCAGACUGGGACUGAGACACGGCCCAGACUCCUACGGGAGGCAGCAGUCGGGAAUUUUGCUCAAUGGGCGCAAGCCUGAAGCAGCAACGCCGCGUGAGGGAUGAAGGCCUUCGGGUUGUAAACCUCUUUUCUCAGGGACGAUGAUGACGGUACCUGAGGAAUAAGCCACGGCUAACUACGUGCCAGCAGCCGCCGUAACAC